rnacentral:tRNA from 1 species
GCCCCUGUAGCUCAGUUGGUUAGAGCAAUCCGCUCAUAACGGAUGGGUCGUAGGUUCAAGUCCUACCGGGGGCA